CUGGAGGUAUCAGAAGUGCGAAUGCUGACAUAAGUAACGAUAAAGCGGGUGAAAAGCCCGCUCGCCGGAAGACCAAGGGUUCCUGUCCAACGUUAAUCGGGGCAGGGUGAGUCGACCCCUAAGGCGAGGCCGAAAGGCGUAGUCGAUGGGAAACAGGUUAAUAUUCCUGUACUUGGUGUUACUGCGAAGGGGGGACGGAGAAGGCUAUGUUGGCCGGGCGACGGUUGUCCCGGUUUAAGCGUGUAGGCUGGUUUUCCAGGCAAAUCCGGAAAAUCAAGGCUGAGGCGUGAUGACGAGGCACUGCGGUGCUGAAGCAACAAAUGCCCUGCUUCCAGGAAAAGCCUCUAAGCAUCAGGUAACAUCAAAUCGUACCCCAAACCGACACAGGUGGUCAGGUAGAGAAUACCAAGGCGCUUGAGAGAACUCGGGUGAAGGAACUAGGCAAAAUGGUGCCGUAACUUCGGGAGAAGGCACGCUGAUAUGUAGGUGAAGUCCCUCGCGGAUGGAGCUGAAAUCAGUCGAAGAUACCAGCUGGCUGCAACUGUUUAUUAAAAACACAGCACUGUGCAAACACGAAAGUGGACGUAUACGGUGUGACGCCUGCCCGGUGCCGGAAGGUUAAUUGAUGGGGUUAGCGCAAGCGAAGCUCUUGAUCGAAGCCCCGGUAAACGGCGGCCGUAACUAUAACGGUCCUAAGGUAGCGAAAUUCCUUGUCGGGUAAGUUCCGACCUGCACGAAUGGCGUAAUGAUGGCCAGGCUGUCUCCACCCGAGACUCAGUGAAAUUGAACUCGCUGUGAAGAUGCAGUGUACCCGCGGCAAGACGGAAAGACCCCGUGAACCUUUACUAUAGCUUGACACUGAACAUUGAGCCUUGAUGUGUAGGAUAGGUGGGAGGCUUUGAAGUGUGGACGCCAGUCUGCAUGGAGCCGACCUUGAAAUACCACCCUUUAAUGUUUGAUGUUCUAACGUUGACCCGUAAUCCGGGUUGCGGACAGUGUCUGGUGGGUAGUUUGACUGGGGCGGUCUCCUCCUAAAGAGUAACGGAGGAGCACGAAGGUUGGCUAAUCCUGGUCGGACAUCAGGAGGUUAGUGCAAUGGCAUAAGCCAGCUUGACUGCGAGCGUGACGGCGCGAGCAGGUGCGAAAGCAGGUCAUAGUGAUCCGGUGGUUCUGAAUGGAAGGGCCAUCGCUCAACGGAUAAAAGGUACUCCGGGGAUAACAGGCUGAUACCGCCCAAGAGUUCAUAUCGACGGCGGUGUUUGGCACCUCGAUGUCGGCUCAUCACAUCCUGGGGCUGAAGUAGGUCCCAAGGGUAUGGCUGUUCGCCAUUUAAAGUGGUACGCGAGCUGGGUUUAGAACGUCGUGAGACAGUUCGGUCCCUAUCUGCCGUGGGCGCUGGAGAACUGAGGGGGGCUGCUCCUAGUACGAGAGGACCGGAGUGGACGCAUCACUGGUGUUCGGGUUGUCAUGCCAAUGGCACUGCCCGGUAGCUAAAUGCGGAAGAGAUAAGUGCUGAAAGCAUCUAAGCACGAAACUUGCCCCGAGAUGAGUUCUCCCUGACUCCUUGAGAGUCCUGAAGGAACGUUGAAGACGACGACGUUGAUAGGCCGGGUGUGUAAGCGCAGCGAUGCGUUGAGCUAACCGGUACUAAUGAACCGUGAGG
rnacentral:rRNA from 1 species